rnacentral:rRNA from 1 species
CACGGCGCACGGGUGCGUAACACGUGGGCAAUCUGCCCUCCGAUGGGGGAUAACCCCGCGAAAGCGGGGCUAAUACCGCAUGAUAUUCCGGGGACCCCGGUCCCUGGACUCAAAGGCCGCAAGGCCGUCGGAGGAGGAGCCCGCGCCCGAUUAGCUAGUUGGUGAGGUAACGGCUCACCAAGGCUUUGAUCGGUAGCCGGUCUGAGAGGAUGGCCGGCCACACUGGAACUGAGACACGGUCCAGACUCCUACGGGAGGCAGCAGUGGGGAAUAUUGCGCAAUGGGCGAAAGCCUGACGCAGCGACGCCGCGUGGGGGAUGAAGCUUCUCGGAGUGUAAACCCCUUUCGACCCGGACGAAUGACCCGCAAGGGUUUGACGGUACGGGUAUAAGAAGCCCCGGCUAACUACGUGCCAGCAGCCGCGGUAAUACGUAGGGGGCCAGCGUUGCUCGGAAUUACUGGGCGUAAAGGGUUCGUAGGCGGUGCGGCAAGUUGGGAGUGAAAUCUCUGGGCUUAACCCAGAGGCUGCUUUCAAAACUGCCGUGCUCGAGUGCGGGAGAGGCCAGUGGAAUUGCAGGUGUAGCGGUGAAAUGCGUAGAUAUCUGCAGGAACACCCGUGGCGAAGGCGGCUGGCUGGACCGCAACUGACGCUGAGGAACGAAAGCUAGGGGAGCAAACAGGAUUAGAUACCCUGGUAGUCCUAGCCCUAAACCAUCAGAACUUGGGGUGGCUCGCGUAGGCGGGUCGUCCCGUAGCUAACGCGUUAAGUUCUGCGCCUGGGGAGUACGGUCGCAAGACUGAAACUCAAAGGAAUUGACGGGGGCCCGCACAAGCGGUGGAACAUGUGGUUCAAUUCGA